rnacentral:rRNA from 1 species
AUGCCUUAGUACGGCGAGUGAAGCGGCAAAAGCUCAAAUUUGAAAGCUAGCACCUUCGGUGUUCGCGUUGUAAUUUGAAGAUAGUUUCCUUGAGUAGUCCUUUAUCUAUGUUCCUUGGAACAGGACGUCAUAGAGGGUGAGAACCCCGUAUGAUUUUGGAUACUACUCUUUGUGGGAUUCUAUCGAAGAGUCGAGUUGUUUGGGAAUGCAGCUCUAAGUGGGUGGUAAAUUCCAUCUAAAGCUAAAUAUUGGCGAGAGACCGAUAGCGAACAAGUACAGUGAUGGAAAGAUGAAAAGAACUCUGAAGAGAGAGUGAAAAAGUACGUGAAAUUGCUGAAAGGGAAGGGCUUGAGGUCAGACUUGGUGUUUAAUGAUUAUCAGUUCUUCUUGGACUGUGCACUCGUUUUUCACCGGGCCAAUAUCAGUUUUAGCGGUAGAGUACCCCUUGAAAUGUGGCUUCCUUCGGGGAGUGUUAUAGUCUUGGGGAGAUCUACUUGCUGGGACUGAGGACUGCGCUUCGGCAAGGAUAUUGGCGUAAUGACCUUAAGCCGCCCGUCUUGAAC